CCCUUAGAUGGACACUGCUAUUAGGACUCUGAGGCCUGAGACUAGCAAGAGGGGGAGGCACAAUGCCCCUCACCAUCCCAGUUCGGCAGGAAGUAGCCAGACAGACCUUGACGCCCCUAUUCCCAAAGAAUUGAGCCUCCUAUCUCUUGAGGGGGGAAUGUCAGGUAGUUAGACUAGGAAAAAGGAAUCCAAAAUGGUGGUGGUUAAAAUACAAAGAAAGGGGAAAAGGCCAC